CUUGGUUCAGCUUUGCAUCCUCACAACACUUCCUUCAGCACAUCCUUUGGGACAGAUUGGAUACUUAGUUUGGAUUUGUUAACAUUGCUGGUCAUAAAAAUGUCUGCUUCAAAGAAACUGAUAGAUACUGUCCUGAGGAAAUUGGGCUUUGAUGCCUUAUUUGAUUUCCAUGGCAAAUUUCCUUCCAAAAAUUAAUUCUUGCCAUAGAUUUGGAAAGGGAAGGCUCACCUUGAGAAUUCUCAUGCUUCAAG